UAUCAUGUCCUCCCUUAACCUUUGCUUCUCCAGACUAAACAUCCCCAGCUCCCUAAGCGUCUCUUCAUAGGGCAUGGGGCAUGGGUUCCAGAUGACAUGGGGCAGCCCCAAAGCAGGGGUGGGAACCAUGCGAAGUCCCCCCCCUCACCAGUUUAAACCCAUGGGUAAUCCGUGUUUAUUGGCCUGUGCAGAAAGGGCCUAAGUUUACAUAUCCCAGUUUGAUUCUCAGUCUUCUCUUAGGGGUUUUGAAGGGCACCCCCCUGUAAGUUGAAAGCACCAUAGGGAUAAGUUUGAGAGAGCACAACUGCCUGCCAUGUUCAGAGCCCAUUUCCGUCAUGGAGGCAGAACAGGCAUAGUUCCAAGGCCAACCAUCACUUCAAAAGUACUUUAUCAAAGCAAUAUGACGAUGUUUCCACUUAAUGGGCAAUCACACCUGAGCCAACAUGCAGCCAAACCUGCAGUUGACUGAUAUUCCCUACUUUGGAAUGUCUGGUAUCAUUUCCAACGUUUUCCACCAAAUUUUGAUGAGUAACUUCAAACUGCCUGGUCAAAUCUAACUUUGUGUCUUGAACCAAUAAUGAUCAUGGGACAUUUCCCAUCAAGAUUCAUUAAAAAUGUUUGCCAGGUUUCCCGCAUUCGCUGGAGACCUCUGCAACUGAUUUGCAGGGCCCUCUCACUGUCUUUCUCAUUGGACUUAUGCUCUACAGACUGCAAUUCUCAGGUAAUAUUGGCUUCCUCUCUCCUCCCAUUCCCUUCCCCCCAUUCUUAGCUUUGUGUGCCUGCAUGUGCUAGGAGUUCAGGGAUCUGCUCUCUCAGCCCAAUCUGGGAGAGGGUCAGGUUCACCUUAGGAGUUGGUGCAACCCUGGACCCACAUUGGUGCCCACUGUGCCAGCACAAGAGGAAAAGACACCCGUAGAGGGGUGAGAUAAGCACCCGACCCUGGAAGCCACUGCCAUUCCUCUGCACCACCAGUGCAGAAAGAUUCAAUAGCAUGGCUAGGGGUAUUCCGGGUUUGUGUCCGGGGGUGGAGCUGACCGUAGGCUUCUCCUGCUCUCCCAGCCCCCCAUGCACUGAUGCAGCCCCAUUAUCCCCUAUGGGAGAUCUUGGCCAGCCAGGGUUUGCUUUUUGUUUCUGGGGUUCCUGCUCUGCAGAGAAGCCCUUUGGCGGUGUUGGAACGGUGCCACAGCAGCACCACAUCCCACUCCCUGAAAGGUCUGGAUUGGGCUGUCAGCUGCUUAGUGGAGGUUUUUUGGAGGUUUACUCCUUUGCAUUCUAUUUUGCGUCCCAUAAAAUUGCAAUUAUAAUAACUUCAUUAUUUUAUUUCAGGGUACCCCUACAGUGAUCUAUUAUGGUAUUUACAGACUGCCAUUUCCUGUGUUAUUCCUUUCUGGAACAAUUUUUAAACUAAUCCCCCCCACCCUGUGUUCAUUUUGGAGUAGUGCUCAAGAGAUUCAGUCAAAGAGGCAGUUUUGAGCUGCAUUAAGAACUCAUAUGAUGCAGAAAUCUCUUGACAGUUCAAGAGUGUGGAAAAGAGUUGAGUUUGGGCAGCAUCCUUCAAUAGCAUCUAAUACAGAGGAGAAAACGUUUGAAUGCACAGAUUGUGGGUAGAGUCUUGGAGCUGCAGAUGCUUCUGUGGCUUUGAGGAAAGACAUGAUGUGGAGGGGGUGGAGAGUGUCUUUGCUGUCUCUCCAUUAAUACUCUAGACAAUAAUUGGGGGGCAUCAUCCCCUGUUGGUUCCAGUCCUAUCUGGCUGAUGAGCGCCAGAAGUGGGGCUACAGGAUCCCUGCUUGAUGCAUGCCACAGGGUCCACAAGGGAUCUCUCUUGCUCCUCUGUGCUUUGGUUCUGGAAUGUUAUGGUGGACUGAGAAGUCCAAAUGGUGUCUCUGAUGGAAUCUUUGUUCAGCCCUUUGGACGGGAUCUCUAUCCAGUGUCCUUCCUUCUGACAGGAGGCUGACUCCAAGAUUUACCCCGGAACUGGAAGAAGGACCAAGACUGAACAGAGUGACUCUUUCCUAAGCCCAUCAAAGUAAACUUUCCUUUUGACCACA